GAUUUCAAUUGAAAAAGUCAUCAACAACAAAGUUGAAUAACUCAUCAAGAUCUAAAACUUUUAUUUUUUUUAUUUCUUCAUCUGACGAAAUGUUAGUAAUAUUAUUCACAAAUUUUACAUAUAUGUGUUAUAGUUUAUAAAACCAGAUAAGAGAUAUGUCAAUUUUGUGAACAAUGUUACUAUCACUUUGUCGUAUGAAGAAAUGACCAAAAUAAAAGUUUUAGAUCUUGAUGAGUUAUUCAACCGUGUUGUUGAUGACUUUUUCAGUUGAUAUC
rnacentral:pre_miRNA from 1 species